rfam:Bacillus phage BCP78, complete genome.
CGGGGUGUGGCGUAACGGUUAACGCAAGUGACUGUGGAUCACUGAAUAGGGGUUCGAUUCCCCUCAUCCUGA